rnacentral:tRNA from 1 species
GGGGUUGUGGCUCAGAGGUAGAGUGCUCACCUAGCACAACAAGUGAGGCCCUGGGUUCGAUCUUCAGCACCGCA